GACGAACGCUGGCGGCGUGCUUAACACAUGCAAGUCGAGCGAUGAAGUUUCCUUCGGGAAACGGAUUAGCGGCGGACGGGUGAGUAACACGUGGGUAACCUGCCUCAUAGAGGGGAAUAGCCUUCCGAAAGGAAGAUUAAUACCGCAUAAGAUUGUAAUGCCGCAUGGCAUAGCAAUUAAAGGAGCAAUCCGCUAUGAGAUGGACCCGCGUCGCAUUAGCUAGUUGGUGAGGUAACGGCGCACCAAGGCGACGAUGCGUAGCCGACCUGAGAGGGUGAUCGGCCACAUUGGGACUGAGACACGGCCCAGACUCCUACGGGAGGCAGCAGUGGGGAAUAUUGCACAAUGGGGGAAACCCUGAUGCAGCAACGCCGCGUGAGUGAUGACGGUCUUCGGAUUGUAAAGCUCUGUCUUUAGGGACGAUAAUGACGGUACCUAAGGAGGAAGCCACGGCUAACUACGUGCCAGCCGCCGCCGUAAAAC
rnacentral:rRNA from 1 species